GUUGAGCGCUGAAGGUUGGUACUUGUACCGACUGGAUGAGCAGCGAACGGGCCAUUUAAGCGUGGGGAAUCUGCCUUUGAGCGGGGGACAACAUUUCGUAACGAAUGCUAAUACCGCAUAACAACUUUAAACACAAGUUUUAAGUUUGAAAGAUGCAAUUGCAUCACUCAAAGAUGAUCCCGCGUUGUAUUAGCUAGUUGGUGAGGUAAAGGCUCACCAAGGCGAUGAUACAUAGCCGACCUGAGAGGGUGAUCGGCCACAUUGGGACUGAGACACGGCCACCAAACUCCUACGGGAGGCAGCAGUAGGGAAUCUUCGGCAAUGGACGAAAGUCUGACCGAGCAACGCCGCGUGAGUGAAGAAGGUUUUCGGAUCGUAAAACUCUGUUGGUAGAGAAGAACGUUGGUGAGAGUGGAAAGCUCAUCAAGUGACGGUAACUACCCAGAAAGGGACGGCUAACUACGUGCCAGCAGCCGCGGUAAUACGUAGGUCCCGAGCGUUGUCCGGAUUUAUUGGGCGUAAAGCGAGCGCAGGUGGUUUAUUAAGUCUGGUGUAAAAAGCAAUGGCUCAACCCUUGUAUGCAUUGGAAGCUGGUAGACUUGAGUGCAAGAGAAGAGAGUGGAAUUCCAUGUGUAGCGGUGAAAUGGGUAGAAUAUAUGAAGAACAACCGUGGGGAAAGCGGGUCUCUUGCCUGGGACUGAAACUUAAGCUCCAAAGCGUGGGGAGGAAAAAACAGAAAUAAAAAACCCGGGUGAUCCCCCCCCAAAACAAGAAUGGUUGAUGGUAGGGGGCUUUAAGUUCUCUGGUAUCUCAAGCUAAACCAAAAAAAAACUCCCCCCGGGGGAGGACAACCGCCCAGGUGGAAA
rnacentral:rRNA from 1 species